AAGAACAAAAACCAUUAGACGAUGAGCACAACGCAGAAAUAAAAAAGAGUUUGCUGAAGUAUAAGAAUAGAGCUGAAGAAUCUGAUUCUGAUUAUUAUGGUUCUAACAAUAGUGAAGAUGAAACUGAUGAGGAUGUCGCAUAUGCUGAGCCCCAUGAAUUCAAGAAAAAGACAAAAAUGGAUGAGAUUUUCAAUAUAAA
rnacentral:lncRNA from 1 species